UUACAGGAAGACCGGUUCCGGAGAGUUUAGGGAGGAGAGGUAGAGUGGUGAAGGCGAGAAUGGGUUUGGAAUCAGCGAUCUGUUUGCGGAUCUCUUGAGGGGUGUUGAGAGGGUUUGUGGCAGUGAUGAUGGCGCCGAGGGACAUGACGGAGAGACAGAGGACAGGGAAGAAGA